GCAAGUCGAGCGGACAGAUGGGAGCUUGCUCCCUGAUGUUAGCGGCGGACGGGUGAGUAACACGUGGGUAACCUGCCUGUAAGACUGGGAUAACUCCGGGAAACCGGGGCUAAUACCGGAUGGUUGUUUGAACCGCAUGGUUCAAACAUAAAAGGUGGCUUCGGCUACCACUUACAGAUGGACCCGCGGCGCAUUAGCUAGUUGGUGAGGUAACGGCUCACCAAGGCAACGAUGCGUAGCCGACCUGAGAGGGUGAUCGGCCACACUGGGACUGAGACACGGCCCAGACUCCUACGGGAGGCAGCAGUAGGGAAUCUUCCGCAAUGGACGAAAGUCUGACGGAGCAACGCCGCGUGAGUGAUGAAGGUUUUCGGAUCGUAAAGCUCUGUUGUUAGGGAAGAACAAGUACCGUUCGAAUAGGGCGGUACCUUGACGGUACCUAACCAGAAAGCCACGGCUAACUACGUGCCAGCAGCCGCGGUAAUACGUAGGUGGCAAGCGUUGUCCGG
rnacentral:rRNA from 1 species